rnacentral:rRNA from 1 species
UACGAAGGGGGCUAGCGUUGCUCGGAAUCACUGGGCGUAAAGGGUGCGUAGGCGGGUCUUUAAGUCAGGGGUGAAAUCCUGGAGCUCAACUCCAGAACUGCCUUUGAUACUGAAGGUCUUGAGUUCGGGAGAGGUGAGUGGAACUGCGAGUGUAGAGGUGAAAUUCGUAGAUAUUCGCAAGAACACCAGUGGCGAAGGCGGCUCACUGGCCCGGUACUGACGCUGAGGUGCGAAAGCGUGGGGAGCAAACAGG